CAAUAGCGUAUAUUAAAGUUGUUGCAGUUAAAAAGCUCGUAGUUGGAUUUCUGGUCGGAAGCUCCUGUCCUCUGAUGAGCGUACAAGUGCGUCCUACCAUCCUUCUGUUAACCUUUAAGGCUUUCGCGGCUUUCUAGGGGCUCAGAUAUUUUACCUUGAGAAAAUUAGAGUGUUUCAGGCAGGCUAGCGCCGGAAUACAUUAGCAUGGAAUAAUGGAAUAGGACUUUUGCCUCUUCUGUUGGUCAUGAGGCUCGAGUAAUGAUUAAUAGGGAUAGUUGGGGGCAUUAGUACUUAACUGUCAGAGGUGAAAUUCUCGGAUUUGUUAAAGACUAACUUAUGCGAAAGCAUUUGCCAAGGAUGUUUNCAUUA
rnacentral:rRNA from 1 species